rnacentral:misc_RNA from 1 species
AAAAUAAAAGUGGAAUAAAGGAGAGAAUAGCGUAUACGCUUCCUCUCUUCUAUUCCAGCCUUUCGGGGAAACAUCCUGUGAACUGUUCUGUUUUUUGGCGGGUGAGCAGUGAGAACUGCUUGUCAGCGUGGGGUCACCUCUACGCCGUGGACAGCCCGUCAGCCGUGCCUAAAACCAAUUUAUUAUUAUUCAUGUCUGACACUAUAUUUUAAAAAUAUAUAAAA